UGUAAUAAUUCUGACAAUAGCACUACAGAAGGCCUAAAUCUAGAUUUUUUAUGGAGACUUUCCAGAACAUUCCAGUACUGGCAGUAGGCCUACUGUACGAUGCAAAAUACCAAAUUUGGUAAUAGAACAACAGCAGGAACACGUAAACUGCGGACAUGGACUCACUUGGUGGACAGGGGAGCAAAUGUGUAAAUGGGACAUAUACAUCUUAAAAACGAUUGAAAACAGAUAAUUUAAUCGGAUAACAUUUUUUCCAGACUUGUUUGACAAGCUACCAUCUUGAUUUUCUUCUGGCUACGUGUCACAAUACGGCCCGUCAAAAUAUGCCCUGGAGCAUUUCUUAGCAUUAUUGGAAAUAUCCAGACUUCUCAACACAGGUCUUGAUGCCGAGACAUUGACCACAUGUGUAAGACUAUGUGAGAGUGGAGUUAACCCUGAGGCUCUGGCUCUCGUCAUACAGGAGCUAAGGAGGGAGACAGCUGCAGUCAAAGCUGCAGAAAGCUGAGAACAACUACAUGGAAAGAGUUAUAGAAUGGAGAGUUUCUUUCAAGAAUUUCCAACAAGUGUAUCAUGAAAGACAUGGAGUUGGAGUUGGUGCUUAUACAAUUUGUAUGUGGUAACUGUGUACACUAUAUUUUACACUAGACUGACAGACAUGCUACAUGCCUGGCAGUACCACUACAUUUACGUGUGUAUGCUACAAGAUCAGUGUAAUCUGAGGAUUUACAAAGAUUAGGAUGGAACUUGCAAGAUAUAGUACAUUUCAAGAAACUGUUAAGUCUCCAAUAUCAUGAUUCUGCUUAGGACAGAAGACUUUGAAGAAACUGUUAAUGAAUAUCUAGAAAGCAUUGUGCAUUUUGCACUGUCCUUUCACAUAGCAGGGUCUGCAUGUGCAUGAAAGUUAAUCUUGGUGAUACUAAAUGGAGCCAGGGGCAUUAAAUUAAUUAGUAGUGCGUGCAAAAAUUUAAAGUUUAAUUUCCAUCAUUCAAAAGGUUAUUAAAGCAACUUUUAAGUGUA